rnacentral:tRNA from 2 species
GGCCCUUUAGCUCAGUGGUUAGAGCUGGCGACUCAUAAUCGUACGGUCACCGGUUCAAGUCCGGUAGGGGCCACCA